GGUCCCGUAGUUUAGUGGCAAAACCCGCGCCUGAUAAGCGCGUAACGGCGGUUCGAUUCCGCCCGGGGCCA
rnacentral:tRNA from 1 species